CAAAGGAGCAAUCCGCUGAAAGAUGGGCUCGCGUCCGAUUAGAUAGUUGGCGGGGUAACGGCCCACCAAGUCGACGAUCGGUAGCCGGACUGAGAGGUUGAACGGCCACAUUGGGACUGAGACACGGCCCAGACUCCUACGGGAGGCAGCAGUGGGGAAUAUUGCACAAUGGGGGAAACCCUGAUGCAGCGACGCCGCGUGAGGGAAGAAGGUUUUCGGAUUGUAAACCUCUGUCUUUGGUGACGAAAGAUGACGGUAGCCAAAGAGGAAGCUACGGCUAACUACGUGCCAGCAGCCGCGGUAGUACGUAGGUGGCAAGCGUUGUCCGGAAUUACUGGGUGUAAAGGGAGCGUAGGCGGGAAGACAAGUUGAAUGUUUAAACUAUCGGCUCAACCGAUAAUCGCGUUCAAAACUGUUUUUCUUGAGUGAAGUAGAGGCAGGCGGAAUUCCUAGUGUAGCGGUGAAAUGCGUAGAUAUUAGGAGGAACACCAGUGGCGAAGGCGGCCUGCUGGGCUUUAACUGACGCUGAGGCUCGAAAGCGUGGGUAGCAAACAGGAUUAGAUACCCUGGUAGUCCACGCUGUAAACGAUGAUUACUAGGUGUGGGGGGACUGACCCCUUCC
rnacentral:rRNA from 1 species